CGAAACUGGUGUCGACCGACA
rnacentral:miRNA from 1 species